UACGGGGGGGGCAAGCGUUGUUCGGAAUUACUGGGCGUAAAGCGCACGUAGGCGGCAUUGCAAGUCGGAUGUGAAAUCCCUCGGCUUAACCAAGGAAGUGCAUCCGAAACUGCAGUGCUUGAGUACUUAAGAGGAUCGCGGAAUUCCCGGUGUAGAGGUGAAAUUCGUAGAUAUUGGGAAGAACACCAGUGGCGAAGGCGGCUCACUGGCCCGUAACUGACGCUGAGGUGCGAAAGCGUGGGGAGCAAACAGG
rnacentral:rRNA from 1 species